GAAGAGGAGGAAUUGGAGGAAGAAGAGAAGGACGGGGAGGAGGAAGAACAUUUUGAGCAAACCCCCCUCUCCCCUCGUCCCCACACUGAGACCAGAUGUUUCCACCUCUGGACGUCCAGUGGUUCAGUUCCUAUGGUUAGCACUUCCUGUUAGCUUAGCAUAAAGACUUGAAGUCUAUGGGAGUCGUUAGCCUGGCUCUGUCACAGUGACAAACUAAACCUCACAGCGGCUCUGAAGCCAUGUAAUCUACAGA